rnacentral:rRNA from 1 species
AUUGAAUGCUGGCGGCAGGCCUAACACAUGCAAGUCGAGCGAGCGGCGGACGGGUGAGUAAUGUCUGGGAAACUGCCUGAUGGAGGGGGAUAACUACUGGAAACGGUAGCUAAUACCGUAUACCAUCAGAUGUGCCCAGAUGGGAUUGGCUAGUAGGUGGGGUAACGGCUCACCUAGGCGACGAUCCCUAGCUGGUCUGAGAGGAUGACCAGCCGCACUGGAACUGGGCCACGGUCCAGACGCCUGCGAGAGGGAGCAGUAGGGAAUAUUGCGCAAUGGGCGCAAACCUGAUGCAGCCAUGCCGCGUGUGUGAAGGAGGCCUUCGGGUUGUAAAGCACUUUCAGCGGGGAGGCGUUACCCGCAGAAGAAGCACCGGCUAACUCCGUGCCAGCCGCCGCGGUAAUAC